AGCUCAGUUGGUUAGAGCGACGGAUUGUGGUUCCGUAGGUCGUGGGCUUUAUAUUAUACACAUCUGACGCUGCCGACCA
rnacentral:tRNA from 1 species